rnacentral:rRNA from 1 species
CGCAAGCCUGACGGAGCAAUACCGCGUGAGGGAGGAAGGCUCUUGGGUCGUAAACCUCUUUUCUGAGGGAAGAAAAAAUGACGGUACCUCAGGAAUAAGCAUCGGCUAACUCCGUGCCAGCAGCCGCGGUAAUACGGAGGAUGCAAGCGUUAUCCGGAAUCAUUGGGCGUAAAGCGUCCGUAGGUGGCAGUUCAAGUCUGCUGUCAAAGCGCAAGGCUUAACCUUGUAAAGGCAGUGGAAACUGAACAGCUAGAGUGAGGUAGGGGUAGAGGGAAUUCCCGGUGUAGCGGUGAAAUGCGUAGAGAUCGGGAAGAACACCGGUGGCGAAAGCGCUCUACUGGGCCUCAACUGACACUGAGGGACGAAAGCU